rnacentral:rRNA from 1 species
GAUGAACGCUGGCGGCGUGCUUAACACAUGCAAGUCGAACGAAGCACUCUAUUUGAUUUUCUUCGGAAAUGAAGAUUUUGUGACUGAGUGGCGGACGGGUGAGUAACGCGUGGGUAACCUGCCUCAUACAGGGGGAUAACAGUUGGAAACGACUGCUAAUACCGCAUAAGCGCACAGGAUCGCAUGAUCUGGUGUGAAAAAACUCCGGUGGUAUGAGAUGGACCCCGCGUCUGAUUAGCCAGUUGGCAGGGUAACGGCCUACCAAAGCGACGAUCAGUAGCCGACCUGAGAGGGUGACCGGCCACAUUGGGACUGAGACACGGCCCAAAACUCCUACGGGAGGCAGCAGUGGGGAAUAUUGCACAAUGGGGGAAACCCUGAUGCAGCGACGCCGCGUGAGCGAAGAAGUAUUCGGUAUGUAAAGCUCUAUCAGCAGGGAGAAGAAUGACGGUACCUGACUAAGAAGCACCGGCU